UCAGAUUGAACGCUGGCGGCAGGCCUAACACAUGCAAGUCGAGCGGUAGAGAGAAGCUUGCUUCUCUUGAGAGCGGCGGACGGGUGAGUAAUGCCUAGGAAUCUGCCUGGUAGUGGGGGAUAACGUUCGGAAACGGACGCUAAUACCGCAUACGUCCUACGGGAGAAAGCAGGGGACCUUCGGGCCUUGCGCUAUCAGAUGAGCCUAGGUCGGAUUAGCUAGUUGGUGAGGUAAUGGCUCACCAAGGCGACGAUCCGUAACUGGUCUGAGAGGAUGAUCAGUCACACUGGAACUGAGACACGGUCCAGACUCCUACGGGAGGCAGCAGUGGGGAAUAUUGGACAAUGGGCGAAAGCCUGAUCCAGCCAUGCCGCGUGUGUGAAGAAGGUCUUCGGAUUGUAAAGCACUUUAAGUUGGGAGGAAGGGUUGUAGAUUAAUACUC
rnacentral:rRNA from 1 species